UACGGAGGGUGCAAACGUUGCUCGGAAUCAUUGGGCGUAAAGCGCACGUAGGCGGCCUGUUAAGUCGGGUGUGAAAGCCCUCGGCUCAACCGAGGAAGUGCACUCGAAACUGGCAAGCUUGAGUAUGGAAGAGGGUCGCGGAAUUCCCGGUGUAGAGGUGAAAUUCGUAGAUAUCGGGAGGAACACCAGUGGCGAAGGCGGCGACCUGGGCCAAUACUGACGCUGAGGUGCGAAAGCGUGGGGAGCAAACAGG
rnacentral:rRNA from 1 species